UGCUUAACACAUGCAAGUCGAACGGAAAGGCCCUUCGGGGUACUCGAGUGGCGAACGGGUGAGUAACACGUGGGUGAUCUGCCCUGCACUUUGGGAUAAGCCUGGGAAACUGGGUCUAAUACCGGAUAGGACCACGGCAUUCAUGUGCUGUGGUGGAAAGCUUUUGCGGUGUGGGAUGGGCCCGCGGCCUAUCAGCUUGUUGGUGGGGUAAUGGCCUACCAAGGCGACGACGGGUAGCCGGCCUGAGAGGGUGACCGGCCACACUGGGACUGAGAUACGGCCCAGACUCCUACGGGAGGCAGCAGUGGGGAAUAUUGCACAAUGGGCGCAAGCCUGAUGCAGCGACGCCGCGUGAGGGAUGACGGCCUUCGGGUUGUAAACCUCUUUCGCCAGGGACGAAGCGCAAGUGACGGUACCUGGAGAAGAAGGACCGGCCAACUACGUGCCAGCAGCCGCGGUAAU
rnacentral:rRNA from 1 species